UGAAACCUUGAUAUGACUACGGGGCCUUUCAUAAGACCCAGUGUCCAAUUUUUGGGAACCCUUGCGAGAGUAAGGGUUA
rnacentral:snRNA from 1 species